rnacentral:rRNA from 1 species
GACGAACGCUGGCGGCGUGCUUAACACAUGCAAGUCGAACGGAAAGGCCUGCUUUCCCUUGUGGAUUGCGGGUACUCGAGUGGCGAACGGGUGAGUAACACGUGAGUGAUCUGCCCCCAACUUGGGUAUAAGCCUGGGAAACUGGGUCUAAUUCCCGAUAGGACUGCAGGGUGGUGCCUGUGGUGGAAAACGAUUUUCUAGUGGUUGGGGAUGAGCUCGCGGCCUAUCAGCUUGUUGGUGGGGUAAUGGCCUACCAAGGCGGCGACGGGUAGCCGGCCUGGGAGGGUGGACGGCCACAUUGGGACUGAGAUACGGCCCAGACUCCUACGGGAGGCAGCAGUGGGGAAUAUUGCACAAUGGGCGGAAGCCUGAUGCAGCGACGCCGCGUGGGGGAUGACGGCCUUCGGGUUGUAAACUCCUUUCGACCGCGGGGAAGCCACCUGGUUGGAAGGGUGGUGACGGUAGUGGUAGAAGAAGCACCGGCUAACUACGUG